UGGGGAAUAUUGGACAAUGGAGGUAACUCUGAUCCAGCAAUUCUGUGUGUGCGAAGACGGUCUUCGGAUUGUAAAGCACUUUUAGUUGGGAAGAAGAAGAUGACGGUACCAACAGAAGAAGCGACGGCUAAAUACGUGCCAGCAGCCGCGGUAAUACGUAUGUCGCUAGCGUUAUCCGGAAUUAUUGGGCUUAAAGGGCAUCUAGGCGGCAAUACAAGUUGAAGGUGAAAAGCUGUGGCUCAACCAUAGUCUUGCCUACAAAACUGUAAUGCUAGAGUACUGGAAAGGUGGGUGGAACUACACGAGUAGAGGUGAAAUUCGUAGAUAUGUGUAGGAAUGCCGAUGAUGAAGAUAACUCACUGGACAGCAACUGACGCUGAAGUGCGAAAGCUAGGGGAGCAAACA
rnacentral:rRNA from 1 species